ACUUCUCCUCCAUUGUAAUCUUUAUAGCGGAAUUACUCGUCUUCACCCCUGGCCGUAGGCACAUUGCCAAAUCAUGUUAAAUCUUGGUUUUCAAGGCUUUCUGGUCUGCUUUGCUCAAAAAAAGGCUUUCUGGUCUGCUUCUUGACAUGCAUGUGGAACUCAAGCGGGCGACAAUGCAAACCAUAUAGGCGCCUAUGCAGAGAAAUUAUAUCUUGUAUGUAUUAUAUGACUGUGCAUGCUGUCAAAUAUAACUUUUUAAUCUUAUGGAUCCCAUUCAUCAAACGUUUAUCUCAA